UACAGAGGGUGCGAGCGUUGUCCGGAAUCACUGGGCGUAAAGGGCGCGUAGGCGGCCCGGUAAGGUUGCGGUGAAAGCCCGGGGCUCAACCCCGGGUCGGCCGUGGCAACUGCUGGGCUGGAGCACAGUAGAGGCGGGUGGAAUUCCGGGUGUAGCGGUGGAAUGCGUAGAGAUCCGGAAGAACACCGGUGGCGAAGGCGGCCUGCUGGGCAGUGGCUGACGCUGAGGCGCGACAGCGUGGGGAGCAAACAGG
rnacentral:rRNA from 1 species